rnacentral:rRNA from 1 species
GGGGGGACAGGGUGACAGGUGGUGCAUGGUUGUCGUCAGCUCGUGUCGUGAGAUGUUGGGUUAAGUCCCGCAACGAGCGCAACCCUCGACCUUAGUUGCCAGCAUUCAGUUGGGCACUCUAAGGUGACUGCCGGCUAAAAGUCGGAGGAAGGUGGGGAUGACGUCAAAUCAUCAUGCCCCUUAUGACCUGGGCUACACACGUGCUACAAUGGACGGUACAAAGGGUCGCGAACCCGCGAGGGGGAGCCAAUCCCAAAAAGCCGCUCUCAGUUCGGAUUGCAGGCUGCAACUCGCCUGCAUGAAGCCGGAAUCGCUAGUAAUCGCGGAUCAGCAUGCCGCGGUGAAUACGUUCCCGGGCCUU